rnacentral:rRNA from 1 species
AGACCCGAAACCCGGUGAUCUAGCCAUGGGCAGGUUGAAGGUUGGGUAACACUAACUGGAGGACCGAACCGACUAAUGUUGAAAAAUUAGCGGAUGACCUGUGGCUGGGGGUGAAAGGCCAAUCAAACCGGGAGAUAGCUGGUUCUCCCCGAAAGCUAUUUAGGUAGCGCCUCGUGAACUCAUCUCCGGGGGUAGAGCACUGUUUCGGCUAGGGGGCCAUCCCGGCUUACCAACCCGAUGCAAACUGCGAAUACCGGAGAAUGUUAUCACGGGAGACACACGGCGGGUGCUAACGUCCGUCGUGAAGAGGGAAACAACCCAGACCGCCAGCUAAGGUCCCAAAGUCAUGGUUAAGUGGGAAACGAUGUGGGAAGGCCCAGACAGCCAGGAUGUUGGCUUAGAAGCAGCCAUCAUUUAAAGAAAGCGUAAUAGCUCACUGGUCGAGUCGGCCUGCGCGGAAGAUGUAACGGGGCUAAACCAUGCACCGAAGCUGCGGCAGCGAACGUAUCACUUAAAGCGAUUCAGCGGAUUACGAUUGACGGAGCGAAGCGACGUCAAAGCGUAUACAAAGUCGAGUCGGUUUAAGGAUACGUUCGUUGGGUAGGGGAGCGUUCUGUAAGCCUGUGAAGGUGGCCUGUGAGGGUUGCUGGAGGUAUCAGAAGUGCGAAUGCUGACAUAAGUAACGAUAAAGCGGGUGAAAAGCCCGCUCGCCGGAAGACCAAGGGUUCCUGUCCAACGUUAAUCGGGGCAGGGUGAGUCGACCCCUAAGGCGAGGCCGAAAGGCGUAGUCGAUGGGAAACGGGUUAAU